GACGAACGCUGGCGGCGUGCCUAACACAUGCAAGUCGAACGGAGAUUAUUAAUGAAGCUUGCGAUUUAAUAAUCUUAGUGGCGGACGGGUGAGUAACGCGUGGAUAAUCUGCCCAUAAGUGGGGAAUAACAGUUGGAAACGACUGCUAAUACCGCAUAAGCUGGUUGGAAUGAUGGUUUCGAUCAGUAAAGGUGGCCUCUGAAAAUGCUAUCGCUUAUGGAUGAGUCCGCGACUGAUUAGCUAGUUGGUGGGGUAAAGGCCUACCAAGGCGACGAUCAGUAGCCGGCCUGAGAGGGUGGACGGCCACACUGGGACUGAGACACGGCCCAGACUCCUACGGGAGGCAGCAGUGGGGAAUAUUGCGCAAUGGGGGAAACCCUGACGCAGCGACGCCGCGUGAGCGAUGAAGGCCUUAGGGUUGUAAAGCUCUGUUUUAAGGGACGAAUGUCGAGGGGAGUAAUAUGUCCUUCGAAUGACGGUACCUUAAGAGGAAGCCCCGGCUAACUCCGUGCCAGCAGCCGCCGUAAAAC
rnacentral:rRNA from 1 species